UUAGGGAUUUUUUGCAAUGCGCGCAAGCGUGACAGAGCGAGCCAGAGUGUUUUUCCUUUUGGAAAAACUUUUGCCAGCUGUAAAAAGGCUGGCGAAUAAGGACUGGGCAAGACCGGUGCCAGCCGCCGCGGUAAUCCCGGCGGUCCAAGUCGCAGCCAACUUUAUUGGGUCUAAAACAUCCGUAGCUUGCUAUGAAAGUCUUUUGUGAAACUCUGUCUCUUAAGGGCAGAAAUGGCAAUAGAUACUUCAUGGCUAGAGACCGGUGGACGUAAGGAGUACAUUUAAGGUAGUGGUAAAAUACGUUAAUCUUAAAUGGACUAACAACAGCGAAGGCACCUUACGAUGACGGUUCUGACAGUGAGGGAUGAAGGCUAGGGGCGCAAAAUGG
rnacentral:rRNA from 1 species